rnacentral:rRNA from 1 species
CCCUUAGAUGUCCUGGGCUGCACGCGCGCUACACUGAUGUGUCCAGUAAGCUCCUAACCUCUUCCGAAAGGAACGGGUAACCUUUGCAAAGCACAUCGUGAUGGGGAUAGAUUAUUGCAAUUAUUAGUCUUGAACGAGGAAUUCCUAGUAAGCACAAGUCAUCAGCUUGUGUUGAUUACGUCCCUGCCCUUUGUACACACCGCCCGUCGCUCCUACCGAUUGAAUGUUCCGGUGAGCUCUUCGGACUGCGCGGUCUGCAGUUUCUGCGUUCCGUGCGGAAAGUUGCGCAAACCUUAACAUUUAGAGGAAGGAGAAGUCGUAACA